GUCUACGGCCAUACCACGUUGAACACACCGGUUCUCGUCCGAUCACCGAAGUUAAGCAACGUCGGGCCCGGUUAGUACUUGGAUGGGUGACCGCCUGGGAACACCGGGUGCUGUAGGCA
rnacentral:rRNA from 1 species